CCCUAGCCCUGAUUGCAAUGAAAAUCCUUUAAAAAAAAAAAGAUUGCAAUGGAAAGCAGGAAAUAGC
rnacentral:sRNA from 1 species